rnacentral:sRNA from 1 species
GCUGGGCAUGGUGGCGGGCGCCUGUAGUCCCAGCUACUCGGGAGGCUGAGGCCUGAGAAUGGCUGAACCUGGGAGGCGGAGCUUGCAGUGAGCCGAGAUGGCGCCGCUGCACUACAUCCUGGGUGACAGGGCGAGACUCUGUCUCAAAAAGAAAAAGAAAUUUGGGGCACUUCCCCAAUACUAAAGGACUGUCCAAAAGUACCCCCCCCUUCUUUUUUUUUUGAGGCGGAGUCUCGCUCUGUCGCCCAGGCUGGAGUGCAACUGCGCUAUCUCGGCUCACUGCAAGCUCCGCCUCCCGGGUUCAGCCAUUCUCCU